rnacentral:rRNA from 1 species
UCCUACGGGAGGCAGCAGUGAGGAAUAUUGGGCAAUGGACGCAAGUCUGACCCAGCGAUGCCGCGUGAAGGAUGAAGGCCUUAGGGUUGUAAACUUCUGUCAGCAGGGAAGAUAAUGACGGUACCUGCAGAGGAAGCCCCGGCUAACUCCGUGCCAGCAGCCGCGGUAAU